GAUGAACGCUAGCGGCAGGCUAACACAUGCAAGUCGAGGGGUAAGGUUCAGCUUGCUGAAUACACGACCGGCGCACGGGUGAGUAACACGUUUGCAACCUUCCUCUAACUGGAGAAUAGCCCGAAGAAAUUCGGAUUAAUACUCCAUAAAGUCAAUUUAAGGCAUCUUUUAUUGAUUAAAACUCUGGUGGUUAAAGAUGGGCAUGCGUGACAUUAGCUAGAUGGUAAGGUAACGGCUUACCAUGGCUACGAUGUCUAGGGGGUCUGAGAGGAUGGUCCCCCACACUGGUACUGAGACACGGACCAGACUCCUACGGGAGGCAGCAGUGAGGAAUAUUGGGCAAUGGACGCAAGUCUGACCCAGCCAUGCCGCGUGCAGGAUGACUGCCCUAUGGGUUGUAAACUGCUUUUAUAUGGGAAGAACUCUCCUAACGUGUUGGGAGCUGACGGUACCGUAAGAAUAAGCAUCGGCUAACUCCGUGCCAGCAGCCGCGGUAAUACGGAGGAUGCAGGCGUUAUCCGGAUUUAUUGGGUUUAAAGGGUGCGUAGGCGGGUUAAUAAGUCAGUGGUGAAAUCUCUCAGCUUAACUGAGAAACUGCCAUUGAUACUGUUAGUCUUGAGUAUAGUUGAGGUGGGCGGAAUGUGUCAUGUAGCGGUGAAAUGCAUAGAUAUGACACAGAACACCGAUUGCGUAGGCAGCUCACUAAACUAUCACUGACGCUGAGGCACGAAAGCGUGGGGAGCGAACAGGAUUAGAUACCCUGGUAGUCCACGCCGUAAACUAUGAUUACUCGUUAUGUGCAAUACAUCGUACGCGACUGAGCGAAAGCAUUAAGUGGACCGCCUGGGGAGUACGGUCGCAAGGCUAAAACUCAAAGGAAUUGACGGGGGCUCACACAAGCGGUGGAGCAUGUUGCUUAAUUCGAUGAUACGCGAAGAACCUUAUCCUGGGUUUGACAUGUAUGGAUGCCCAUCUGGAAACAGAGUAGGCUGCCCUUCGGGGUGAAACUUACACAGGUGCUGCAUGGCUGUCGUCAGCUCGUGUCGUGAGAUGUCGGGUUAAGUCCCUUAACGAGCGAAACCCUUGUCGCUAGUUGCCAGCGCGUAAUGGCGGGAACUCUAGCGAGACUGCCGGUGUUAAACCGGAGGAAGGCGGGGAUGACGUCAAGUCCUCAUGGCCUUUAUGCCCAGGGCUGCACACGUGCUACAAUGGUAAGGAUAGACCGAAGCGAUACCGCGAGGUGGAGCAAAUCGGAUAAAGUCGGCCCCAGUUCGGAUUGGAGUCUGCAACUCGACUCCAUGAAGUCGGAAUCGCUAGUAAUCGUGUAUCAGCGCGACACGGUGAAUGUGUUCCUGAGCCU
rnacentral:rRNA from 1 species